rnacentral:sRNA from 1 species
GCCUCGUCGAUCUGCUGCGGGCAGAUGAAAUGGAUAUGAGCAUCAAAACCGCCGGCGGUGAUGAUCUUGCCUUCCGCGGCAAUGGCUUCGGUCGAUGGGCCGAUGAUGAUGUCGACGCCGUUCUGCGUGUCGGGAUUGCCCGCCUUGCCGAUCGCCGAGAUGACGCCGUUCUUCAAGCCGAUAUCGGCCUUGUAGAUGCCGGUAUGGUCGACGAUCAGCGCAUUGGUGAUGACGGUAUCGACCGCGCCUUCCGCGCGCGUCGCCUGCGACUGGCCCAUGCCGUCACGGAU